GUCUGACCGACCGACCUGAGCGAUGACGACGGCCAGAGCGAGGGCGGUGGAGGCCGGAGACGAGUCCCACUGCAGAGGUUUACUCUGAGACUUUCUGCUGCGACUCAGAGACCAGCCCACACACAGACUCAACAACAGAUCAGGGCUGUGAGAUCAAGAGAACGAUUCUGUGACAGACUCACGUUCAGCGAGGCUCCCCGUCAGCGGCGUCCCCACACCGUCUCGAGCGUACCUGAGGGUCCAAGCAGCAUCAUCAGCAUCAUCAGCAUCAUCUCUACAUGCGUUCAGCAGAAGCUGGUCUUCAGAGUCUCUGAGCUGGAUCUGAUCCUGGAGCACAGAAGCGCUCCUCACUACAACAGAGUCUGUCUGAGGUGAGAGUGUCUGACCGGGCCAUGUGGAUGUAGUUGAGCAGCACCGAUGAUCCCUGAAGCAGGAGAGCGCUGGAUAACACCUUCAGCACCGUGUGCAUGGGUCCUCCUUUACUCAGAGC